rnacentral:rRNA from 1 species
UGCGUAGGUGGACCUAUAAGUCAGGGGUGAAAGCCCACAGCUUAACUGUGGAAUUGCCUUUGAAACUGUAGGUCUUGAAUGAGGUUGAGGUUAGCGGAAUGAGUCAUGUAGCGGUGAAAUGCAUAGAUAUGACUUAGAACACCAAUUGCGUAGGCAGCUAACUAGGCCUUUAUUGACGCUGAGGCACGAAAGCGUGGGGAGCGAACAGGAUUAGAUACCCUGGUAGUC